rnacentral:rRNA from 1 species
UGUAGUCUCAAUGAUGAUGCAUACAUGUCAACUAUGGGUGUUGGGUCCAACAAUUCGCACUGGUCUCAAACCAAUGACAUCCAUUUGGAAGACCAUGAGUUUGAGGUGGACGAGGAGGGUGAGGGCAUUGUUGACGCGCCGAAAGGAAGAGCGGGCAAUUACAGCACCAACGAUGACAAGUUACUAUGCAAUACUUAUUUGCAAGUGUCGAGGGAUCCAUCCAUUGGAGGUGAUCAAAGUAGAGAUGCGUAUUGGGGGUGA